UACGUAGGGUGCAAGCGUUGUCCGGAAUUAUUGGGCGUAAAGAGCUUGUAGGCGGUUUGUCGCGUCUGCUGUGAAAUUUCGGGGCUCAACCCCGAACUUGCAGUGGGUACGGGCAGACUAGAGUGUGGUAGGGGAGACUGGAAUUCCUGGUGUAGCGGUGAAAUGCGCAGAUAUCAGGAGGAACACCGGUGGCGAAGGCGGGUCUCUGGGCCACUACUGACGCUGAGGAGCGAAAGCGUGGGGAGCAAACAGG
rnacentral:rRNA from 1 species